rnacentral:rRNA from 1 species
UACGUAGGUGGCAAGCGUUGUCCGGAUUUACUGGGCGUAAAGGGCGUGCAGGCGGUUUGUUAAGUGCAGGGUGAAAGCUCCCGGCUCAACUGGGAGAGGUCCUUGCAUACUGGCAAACUCGAGGGAGGCAGAGGAAAGUGGAAUUCCCGGUGUAGCGGUGAUAUGCGUAGAUAUCGGGAGGAACACCUGUGGCGAAGGCGGCUCACUGGACCGGUACUGACGCUGAUGCGCGAAAGCGUGGGGAGCAAACGGGG